UACGAAGGGGCUAGCGUUGUUCGGAUUUACUGGGCGUAAAGCGCACGUAGGCGGUUUGUUAAGUCAGAGGUGAAAUCCCAAGGCUCAACCUUGGAACUGCCUUUGAUACUGGGGAUCUUGAGUCCGGGAGAGGUGAGUGGAACUGCGAGUGUAGAGGUGAAAUUCGUAGAUAUUCGCAAGAACACCAGUGGCGAAGGCGGCUCACUGGCCCGAUACUGACGCUGAGGCGCGAAAGCGUGGGGAGCAAACAGG
rnacentral:rRNA from 1 species